rnacentral:lncRNA from 1 species
UACAAGCCAGCCCCCAAGGUCUCACCGCCGGCGUACAAGCCCGCCCCCAAGGUCUCACCUCCGGCGUACAAGCCUGUCCCCAAGCCCUCACCGCCGCCGUCGCCAACUCCGCCGGCGCCGAAGCCGACUCCACCGCCCUACAAGCCCCCGACGCCUACUCCUCCGGCGUACAAGCCUCCCACCCCGAGCCCCCCGCCUCCGCCGUACCACCACUAAGAAGAUCCACCACUGUCAAGCUGGGAGCCUAGGUACGUGCAAACCACACCAGUCUACAUUCUUGCAUGCACACACCAUUUGUCCGAAGAGCACCAACUAACCAAGUAAACAUUUGUGUUUGCAGGAUGCGGUCGAGAAGAGUUGUGCGAGCAGGCCAAGAAGAGCCACGUACGUACGGCGUCGUUGAUCCUCCUGCGGUGUGUGAGUUGCUGCCGAGCUACUAGGGCCGAUCUCUGAGGAGAUGGAAUAAUGCAGAUGGCUCCCAUUAGUUAUCUUACCAGCUUAUCAUUUGUGUUCGUCCAGUGUUAGCGUCUGUGUUGCUAGUGUCGCAAUGUUGCCAGUGUCACUGUAAAACCAUUAAUCACCACGGAAAUGGAAGUAAAAGGUGUUGUUUCCCGUUGCAUGUAACGUGAUCGCGUCUCUGUUUUGCUGUUCUUCUAUCUUCUUGGCCUAUGGGUGACGAGAUGCGAUGUUUGCAUGCCAGUGAGUUUACACAUAAAAUAUGUGACGUUGAGUAUCACGCUCUGCUCGCACAGGCGCAGCAUGCAUGCCUGCAAGUCCUGCGGCGCAGUGAGCUACAGUAUCUCACACUAGUGUUCUGCAGCAUAUGCCCAUGCGACGCUUAAUAAAGAACAGUAUAGUAGGUCUCUGCCGUCUAGGUGCAUCCCCGCGACCAUAGGCACUGGCAAAGGCACAGGCGCACACGCCCCGAGGAAUGACAUUUAUCGGGUGCAUGCAUGUCUAACUCUAGUGGUUUCAUUUAACUAAGAGGGUGCUUGGAUACUACUUUUAGUCCCAUGACUAAAAGUAGUGGGACUAAAACGUAUCCAAACACCCUCUAAAACUUGUUAGCCUCAUCCAUAUUUAAAUCCAAAUACUAAAGAGACUAAAAUCAAGUUAUUGAGCAUUUAUUAUCCUCCAAAACCUUCAAUUCAGAACUCGCAUGUGUUAAAGGAGAGACAUUAAAUGAUGAGAGAGAGGUCUAAUACAUAUUUUAGUAGAUUUCCUAUGAUUAAAAUUUUUUAAUCUCAAAACUAGUCCUAGCCUCUCUUUAGUCAAGGGUGCUUGGAACUUUAGCCUCUAAAAGAGACUAUUUUUAGUCUCUUGGAUCCAAGCAUCCUCUAAGGCUGGUCAUAAAAAUCUUAGCGUCCGAAACAAUUUUACGUUAUAAAUGGAAGGUGUCACAGAAGUGAUGAGCGGAAGAGAACCGAACCCUAGUACUCCACCUGAAUGCGGGGCGCGUGAUCUGUUUUUAACUUCAUUUUUACGAACUCAGUACUCCUUUCAUUUUAAAAUAGAUGACCCAACUUGGUAUUAUACAAAAUUGGAACUUUAUACUCCUUUCAUUUUAAAAUAGAUGACCCAAAUAGGAGUACUGUAUAAAGUUGGGUUAUCUAUUUUGAGGUACAAUGGAGUAGGUCAGUGUGAAACCUGCGCUGCUGGGGUAGCAUGCAUGGUGCCAACAGGUCUGACCGAGCCUGGUGAAAGAAGACAAGAAGAACAGUUGGCACAAUAAAUUAACUUGACAUGCUGUGCUUAUACUACCAAUUUUAAUUUCAGUUCAGCUAAAUAUGGUAAUCUAUCACACAGAUUUGAAAACCUUGAUCUUUUGGUAUGGCAGACUGUUUUCCUUUUGAUGGAAAGCAGACUGUUUUUCUAACAAAUGCUUAUAGUCAUUGUGGUACAUACUACUAAGUGAGAAUAUACGGAGUAGAAGUUUGUUCCAUUUAAUUAUUUUGCACUGGAGACUUCUCAUUGAGUUUGAAGUAUAAAUUCUAAUCCUAGGAUCAAUGUCACAGUUUUUCAAAUAGGAACAGUAUGGACAAAACGAAGUGCUCCAUUUUUCAUGUCUGCCUGUUCACACGUACUUCAUGGGUUUUCUUGGCCACAUGGGUAUGUCGAUUGGUGUCAGAGAUCCGUGGAUUUUACUUGAGGCCACCAUACACGAAAAGGCACAAAACAUGCAAGAUAAAAGCUGGAGGAGAAAAGCAAGCGCGGGAACCAAGAAAGGCAAAUUAUUUUCACGGAAAUGAUGCUGCUCACAACUUCACAAGGAAAGCGGUUUUGCAAUGUCGUUCGUUUUUCGCUCGCGAGAAAUUCCUCACCUUCCCGAAACAAGGAAAGAAGUUGACAAGAUGGCAAAGAUAGAAGGCUAGAGGAUGUGAUUAUCAGUACUAGCACGGCUCUAAUGUAACCAUUGUUCAACUACCAAGGAGAUUUAAGGAGCAUGUGCGAGCGGGCGAACAUGAGAAAAGACGUAGGAGGGCACUAGCAUGGAUUUGGUAGGUUCCUGCUGGACGUUAGUACGUUGUUUUGCUCAAGCAUUGACUUGAUACUACCAAUUACCAAAUGCAUGGUUUGAUAAUCAGGAUUUAGGCCUAUAUAUGUACUAGCACUCUAGCAUAAGAAAAACAGUCCCUAAUCCCUAGUAUCUAGUAUCUACAGACGAGAGCAGGAUAAACAAAGGAAAGAAUGGCGCUUGCAAUGUUAUCAGGCAUAGUAUGAUUUCCUGAGAGGUGAGAUAUAAAGGACGGAGCCUUUUGGGAAAUUUGAUGUACUGUUACGAACCUGAACUUCCAGCUGCAAGCAGCGGGCAAUGUACCUACUUACCUUACCUGUGUAGGAGUAGCAAGUAAAAGGGGAAAGAAACUGGUCCAGAGUAGAGCCACCCCCAUUAGGGUUUUGAGGCGACACGGUUUCCUGUGAAGAGCAGCUGGCCGAGGACAUUGCUGUUCACCCGCUGACCCGCAUGACGGAACCAGAAGGAUCCAGAAAAGCUACCGUAGAAAACAAAUGCUGGAUGGCUCAAGAAGUAGGGAUCGGAACCGGGUCCAUACGAGCUUCUGCCAAGCGAGGCUGUGGAACUUGCUUGCCACACUGAUUGCUGCAGAUCGAGCUACUGCAUCUUAGUAUUAUACGUACAAAAUACUGGUACGGUACAAGUAUGAAGUAUAGUUUUUUUUUUGAAACGGAGGCAAAAGCUUUGCCUCAUCCAUUAAAUAAGAGAGAAUAGAGUUUGUUACAAAUCACCCACGACACCACAUGGAUUAUUACAGUAUGAAGUAUAGUAGUAGCUCGAUCCUUCGUCCGGGGAAACUCGGAAGGAGCAGCAGCCUGCCGUGCAGCAACAUUCAUUCCAGUCAUGGGAGCAGUUACAUCUAGGAGCCUACUCCCUGCUGUAGGAGUAUGAGCAAAAAGCUGGAACAAAUUGAAGUGCAUGAACCGAGCCAAGGGGCAUCAUCAAUUGAGUCACCGGAUUCACGUCGCCGGCCACUGCGCCCGCCGCUGACGAGCAGCAGUAGGCCAGUAGGGCCCCGGGCUUUGACCGUCAGGCAAGGCCAUGCAUCGCAUUUACGCCGACAGCACGGGCGGCGUGUGUUGAAUUGAACCCGGCAACUGCAAGCAAGGCGCAAAGCAACAAGAAGAAAACCAGGGCGAGAGGGGCACAUGCAGAGGACGCAGGACAGGAGCAAUUGAUUAUGGUUUUGGGAGUGCGAUGCGGAGAAUGAAACAAGUUCCUCCAAAAGAAAAAGAAAAGGAAAGAAAAAGAAUGGCGACAACCAAUUAGUACGUAGAGAGAGUUCGGAGGGACUGUGCCCUCCCUUGGAUCCACGCUGCAAAUGGGCCGCAAAAUGGGCGAAGCUGCGACGAGACUUCCGGCGACCACAGUCCACAGCAUGGAGUACACUAUUUGCAACGUUUUCUAUUCCAGACCGAUCGCUCGUUUCCCUGCUCAUCUGCGUCUAGUUCCUUCCACGAUCCAUCCUUUGAGCGCGGCUCCGAUCAUGGAUGGUCCCGGCUGCCGACAUGGCUACGAAUCUACGACCAUGUUCGCGCACUGGAUGGGCGUGUGCGGUGCCGCCGAUGAGUACCGUACCGUACCGACGAACGGCCCAACGUGGUUCGCUCGCCUCGAUCUAUUGCUUGCUUGUUGCACAGAUGCACAUGCACUGAUGGGCACGCAACAUUGUUCCCUGGAAAGAAAGAUGGCGCCCAUCUGCUCUCAUUCUGCACUUUGACAGAGAUCAGUCUGCAAGCACACAUGCAUCCACGAGCCAACUGAUUCCGGCGGUGCGAUUUGCCUAAUCGUUCGGUUCCGAAAGCUUAAUAACGCGUGAUGCGUCCAUCGUGCACACGGAAAGAAAGAAACAUCUUUCGCUUUACCCCGGCCGUGUGACCGUGCCUGUAUGUACACACAACUGGCUAAGAAGACACUAGGGUGGGUGGAUCGGUGUCAGUCUAGCUAAGACACGCCCUCAUGCAAGGCUUACAAAGAAAAUAGGUGCAGAUCUCACCGUCGUGGGAAUGCCUAGAUCUACCUAACCAUCACCGAGCUUAUCUUUUUCGGUUGACCGUGCCAGCAGACGAUGCCGUUUUCAUGAGGGGUUGGGUUCGUCCGGUUCCGCCUAAUCUUAACCAGACAUCUACUGCACAUCACAUGCCUUGAAGCAUAGCCAUUUAGUACAACGGACAAUAUGCUUUUUCGACAUGGACAGCGUUGCAGGAGCAGGUAGAAAAUUUGACUCGUAAGAAAACUGGCCUUGGUGGAUUUGGAAGGCUUUAAAUUACGGUUCUAAUGUUUCCUCCUAAUAAUUUGGAUCAAAUCAGAAUUGACAGUGCGCUUCGUCCAACAAAUGAGGUACCUAGCAGCUUUUUUCAGCCAACUUCACAGUAAUUAGAUUCGCCAAAUGCCAUUGUAAACUUGAGAAGAAUGAGCCACCUCAUGGAAAAUAACAAAUUCACAAAAUCGCCGCAUAUGCCAAAAUUUAGUAGCAAAUGUAGCUUUCAUAAGCCUAUGUAAGUGAAGCAAGGCUGAGCAACAGCCAGUAACAAAAUGAACUACUGUUACUCAAACCUCUGUGAUCACCAUCUUCCAAAGGGGCAUAAUAUCAUGAGUCAAACGAAAAUUCUUGUCUGCCCACCGGACGUCUUUUGCGUGGAUUGGUUUCGCCCAGACUACCGACAAAAGCCCUCCCGCUGUCCCGCAACCGGAGAAUUCUUCCGUCCAAAAGAGAGCUACGAUGUCAAAGCCCACACUGCGUAGUUUGGUCCAAGCACACCAACCCACAGCUGCCGCGAAGACAAACAAGUCUUUUAAGGUCCAAGCCCACUAAAAAGGCAGGAAUGUUUUUUUUUCUUCUUUUUUGCGGAUGCAAAAAAAGAAAAAAAUAUCUAAAAAAUGCAAGAAAAGAAAAGAAAAGAAUGAGUGCCCAUUCCUUCAGAGAAAAACCAUUUUACAUAUUACUCCAUCUGUUAUAAAAUAUAAAAUGUUUUGGAUAUUUCAAUAUAGACUAUAUACGGACUGAAAUGAGUGAAUAAAUAAACUAAAAUGCGUCUAUACAUGCGAAUCACAAAAAGUUAAAACAUAUUAUAAUAGUGAACGGGGAAGUAAUAAUAUUUAUGUGGACACUUGCAAAGAGCAAGCCGAAAUAACUAACGCACCAAACGAAUUAGUUAACAAUGAAUUUUAUUCACCAGCUAAGAGGUGUUUUGGACAUAUCGCCAAAAUGCAUUGACGAUGCUUUUAAAAAAACGACAUUACUACUUGACACAAUGAUGACAAAACACAUAUUCAACACCAAAGCCACAUCAAAGUAAUGAAACACUGAUUUUUUUUUACCGAUAAUCUUGCCCACUACCUAUGUUCCAUCUUGAAAUGGCCCCCCUUCCAGGCAGAGGUAAUCGUUACCGCUGAAAAUGGUCAAAAUGAUUUUUCUUUUUGGAACUCCUCUUGGGUGGAUGGCCUACGACCAAAAGAUAUGGCUCCCACCAUUUUUGCCGUCUUUAAAAGGAAGUUUUUGAAUGUUCAUGAGACCCUACCUAAUAAUAGGUGGGUGGAUCAAGUCGACACAUUCAAUGGCCUCUCCAUGCAACAAUUAUAGAAGUUCGCCUUCUUGUCGAGCUACACGUCUAAUGUUCACCUUUCUAAUAAGUAGUUUGACUCCAUCUCUUGGAAGGUGCCCCCUCUCGGAACUACUCCGUGACCUCAGCAUACAAUGCCCCAUUCCUCACGAUAAUUCCAUCCAACAUGAAGCACAACAUUUGGAAAUUAACCCUCCCCCUCCGCCCCAAAUGCAAUAUCUUUGCUUGCCUCAGUAAUCAAAAUAGAGCUUUGAUGGUGCAUCACCCAGCCAAAUGCGGGUGGCCCAACUGCGACCAAUGCCCUCUUUGCAACUGCGUCCCAGAGACGGGGACACACAUGAUCUUUCAAUGAUGCUUAUCCAUACACAUUUGGAACAUGGUGAAGGAUUGGUUUGGCAUUCAUAUGCUUGACAUCGCCUCCUGGAAUGCAUUCGUCGACGUCAAGUCCUUGUGGGACUCUAUCAUACACCAUGACAUUUCUAGGCACAAGGCGAUGGCUCCCGUUGCCAUGUUGGUCACGUGGAGAGAUUUGGAACAAGCGUAACUCGCGUGUUUGUAACCACAAGCAGACCCCUCCACCGAUCUUCAUCCGAUGCAUCUGUCAUGAGGCCGCCUUGUGGGUUGCGGUCGGGGCUAAGCAUUUGGGUAUUGUCAUGCCAGAAGAGUAGGCACUUUCCUUCUUUUUUCGCACUCACAUAAUCGUUCUGUAACGCACUCUUCUUAAUUAAUGAAUCUGGCAAACCUUUUGCCACUUUUAAAAAGAAAGAAAAGAAAAGAAAACACACAUUUGAGUGUUGUAUCAAAAAGAAAGAUUUAUAGGAACUAAUCGAGAUUCCAAUGCGAGGUUGGGAGCUCUUAUUUGAGGUAAACAUGUGUUGCAAGUAGGCAUGACAGUUCACUUCUCCUCUAUUCUUAAGUGGUUGCAAUCCAGAGCCUAAUUUUUAAUGCAUGCAAGCCUUCUACAUCAAUAAAUCAUGGAUAUCUACUAUGUCAUUGGAGGCUAUCUCAUUAUAAUUAAUCCUCGUAAUUAUCCACAUCAUUAGUAUACUAUUCUUUAUAUGUUUUGAAAGUGCUAGUUAUUGACUAGAGGGGAGGUGAAUAGGGAAUUUUUAUGAAAGUCUUCGAAACAAGCAAUGUCUUUGAAGACGUGAAACUAAAAUAGCAACUAAACAUGAUACAGUGGAAGAUAAACUACACUAGACAUGCUGACAUGUCUACAACAAUUGAGGUGAAAUGCGAAGACAAACAACAGUUAGGUAGAAUAGAGAAGUUAAUGAAGAUAGUGUGAAGACAACGAUGUAAACAGAGGGAAUGUCUUCACGCAAUGUCUUCGGAUAGAACGAGCAAGCAAAGGCUUCACAAAACUAAACAGUAAGUAAAGGAGUGAAGUGAUAGAAACCAGUUGCUCGAAGAAGACACGUGAUUUGUUUGACCAGUUCCAACUGCUGUGAUGGUUGUACGUCUGGUUAGGGAGGCUGAGAUUGAACUCAGAAGACCUAGUAUUCACCUUAUUCCCCUUGAGGUAGGACCCGCAAAUCUCGCCCAAUCACUCGGGUAAGUCUUCAAGGUAGACUUUCAAACCUUCACAGACUUCGUUCACCGGCAAUCCACAAUGACUUUUGGAUGCUUAGAACGUGACGCCUGGCCUGUUGCAAGAUCACAGUCUUCAAGUGUAACAAGUCUUUGAUUCACACGGAACAGAAAGGCUUCAGUGAUGCUCACUCACUUUUGAGUUCUGUGUGUUUUGGGUUUGUCCUCACAAAGAUUCUCUCUCAAAGGCUUCAAAGGUGGGUUGCUCUCAAAGGAUAAUAGUCGUGCAGUAACUCGAAGCAGCCACCAACUUAUGGUGGAGGAGGUGGGCUAUUUAUAGCCAGGAGGCAACCCGACAUGAUAUGUUUGAAAUGGCCUUGGGUCAUUUGGCAAUCGACAUGUGUCCAACGGUUGGAUUUCAAUCACACACGGCAACUUUACUUGAGCUCGAAGUAAAGCUAACUCACCCAACUCAGAAAGAGAUUUCCUCUCAUUGUCUUCAUUGGAAGACAUGUGAUUUUAGGCUGAGCAUCAUGUCAGUUUUCUGACUUUGUUUACCUCGACCCUACUUAGCAAUGUGGCGGUUACUAUAACUCAAGAAAAAAGAAAAUGAAACUACCAAAAGACUAUGUCUUCGCGCUCCAUUGUCUUCAAGCGGAAGUCUUCGUGUUCCAUUUGUCAUCAACAUGAAUGUCUCCACGAACCACCAUUAUCUUCAGUGUCUUCAUACAUUUUUAGGGUCAUCUUUGAUGAGUAAACCAAAUCUAUAGGGACUUCUACUUGUGUUCUCCUGUGAAUCUCAAAAACACAUUAGUCCCUCAACCAAUUUUGUCGUCAAUACUCCAAAACCAACAAGGGAUGACACUAGAUGCACUUACAUGUUCCAUGUCAACGUGUGGGAUAUCUUCCGGUAAUAGUUAUAGGGAUGAUAUUCUAAUUAGUUCGGCACAUAUUUGAAUAGAGUACCAUCUGGAGUAUCAUGGCCAAAUUUGGUCUCACUAAGCCAUCAAGGGCAUCUCUAGCAGAUCCCUCAUCUUGUAAUCUCAAAUCAUAUCUUCUAUAAAACAACUAUAUUUUAGCGGGGUUAAACCUGUUUUCAUCUAGCAGACCCCCAAAGCUUAAUCCCCAAACACACCUGAUUCCACAUGGAAGCCUCUCUUCAUUUUAUUGUCCCUUCUUCCUCCUUUUUUUCUUCCUUCGAUGUAGUUAAAGGCUGCAAACGAGUCAAGUUGGAUUAGACUCAGCUCAACUUAUAUUAAAAUUCGAGCAAUCUCAAACCGAGCGAAGUUCAAGGUUUCAGUCGCCAAACCGGAAUUUUUUCCUCAUACAUAGCUUUUGGGGAUCUGCUAGAGAUGCCCUUAAAAGCUUGCUACGGAGCAUUUGCAAUUUUUGAGCAAUUUCUUAUACGCAAUUUUUUCUAGCCUCUCCUAUACGCAAUUAAGCGGGAAAUUUCUGAAGUAUUCUACAGCAUGGAAAUUGGAGCCCCAUGCAACACGGCCCAGUCGGCGCUCCGCCGCUCCCAAUUCUACGGAUGGUCCUUUCUAGUUUGUCCGAAGUCCAAGCACCAAGAUAGUGGGUUUGGUCAGAGGUGGACAACGAGCAAACAAGGCAGACUUCCGUUUCAAAUCUCCGCUAUAUAAGGCGCCAAAUGGAGGAGCAACGGAGGCAAACCAAGCAGCGACGAGUACGUAGAUCAAGAUGGCGUCGCCCUUCUCCUCGCUCUUGCAGCGACGCUCCUGCCCUACUGCAGCGCCACUGCCUCCUCGCCGGUCGCAGCUCCGGCUCCGGCUCCCUACGCUGAUGGUGCAUCCCCGCCUUACGGCGCCUUCCUGCUGGCCCCGGCUGCCUAUGCCGAGGCACCAACGACGGCGCACCAUGCACCUGUACUUGGGAAGGAUCACCACCAUGCCAAGCCGCCGGCCGAGCCACCGGCAUUCCGCAACGCAUCUGAGCACGGGAAGCAUCACCACCAUGAUAGCUCGCCCGUGGUGGCACCGGCGCCAUACCACAACAAUGCAUCCGAGCACAAGCACCAUGGCCACCUCGGCCACGGCAAUGCAACUGAGCACAAGCACCAUGGUCACCUCGGGCACCACCAACAGCACCACGAAGCUCCACCUCCCGCUCACAAUGCACCGCCGCCUCAUUUGCCGCCACCUGCUUAUCAGUCACCACCGCCGCCUGCUCACCAUUUGUCGCCGCCUGCCCACACUUCGCCGCCGCCCCCGGCACACCACUCGCCACCCCCUGCUCACCCUUCACCGCCGCCCCCGGCACNNNNNNNNNNNNNNNNNNNNNNNNNNNNNNNNNNNNNNNNNNNNNNNNNNNNNNNNNNNNNNNNNNNNNNNNNNNNNNNNNNNNNNNNNNNNNNNNNNNNNNNNNNNNNNNNNNNNNNNNNNNNNNNNNNNNNNNNNNNNNNNNNNNNNNNNNNNNNNNNNNNNNNNNNNNNNNNNNNNNNNNNNNNNNNNNNNNNNNNNNNNNNNNNNNNNNNNNNNNNNNNNNNNNNNNNNNNNNNNNNNNNNNNNNNNNNNNNNNNNNNNNNNNNNNNNNNNNNNNNNNNNNNNNNNNNNNNNNNNNNNNNNNNNNNNNNNNNNNNNNNNNNNNNNNNNNNNNNNNNNNNNNNNNNNNNNNNNNNNNNNNNNNNNNNNNNNNNNNNNNNNNNNNNNNNNNNNNNNNNNNNNNNNNNNNNNNNNNNNNNNNNNNNNNNNNNNNNNNNNNNNNNNNNNNNNNNNNNNNNNNNNNNNNNNNNNNNNNNNNNNNNNNNNNNNNNNNNNNNNNNNNGCUCAACAAUCGCCGCCACCACCUGCUCACCAUUCGCCGUCGCCCCCGGCACACCACUUGCCACCUCCGGCUCAACACUCGCCGCCACCACCUGCUCACCAUUCGCCGUCGCCCCCGGCACACCACUUGCCACCUCCGCCUCCAUCCCAUUAUCCGCCGCAUGUUCCGACACCUCCGGGGCAUAAGCACCCAACGCCACCCCUGGCUCAUCAUGGUAAAGCACCGCCGCCACCGCCACGCCGCCAUGGGAAAUUCCCGCCACCAGCACGAUCCGGGUACUCGGCGGCGGCACCAUCGCCAUCUUACUACGGUGCGGAUGCACCAUAUACCAACUAAGCCAAGCUUGGUAAGCCUCGGUAUCACGGUGUUCGUCACGUUCCAAACAGAGUGUCGCCUCCGUGGUAUCUAUGGUGGAAGGGCCAAGAUAAGCAUGUAACUGAAGUAAGCUCAAGACCGCAAGUGAUCAAAAGCCCAUUCACGACUUUCGGAGGGCGUCACUUGCUUCUAGUAAUAUUUUGCUUUCUAAGUUCCCCAGAGGAAGCUACUGAAUAAAGUGGGUAUUUUAUGUGCAGUCGUAUCGUUUGAUCUAAAUUUGUAAUAUUGUUUCCUUUCACCGUCACAAAAAUAAAUGUUUGUUAUGUCAGCCUGGCAGGGUCUUGUGUCAAAACAAACGUUUCUAUUGCUCUUACCUUAUUGAUGACAUUGUGGUUAACAUAUGUUUGUUUCAAACCAUAUCUUAGUGAUUUUGGGAUAAGCACAAACAAAGCUCGGCUCCUUGAGCAUGUAUGCUACUCGAUCAUUGUUUUAGUCGACCGUUGCUUCGAUCUCUUUGCCUUCUCCCUCGGUCUAGGCAUAUCAUGUUGAUCCUACAUGACUUUGCUUUUACCGGCGUGAACCUUUGCAUGUGUCAAGGUUGAUAUGUGCAUCUUAGUCAUGCGGAGAUCGACUAUGUAUUUGCUGUGUUUGUAUUUCCAUGAUACCUCAUUGCAGAGGUGGAUCCAGGAAUUAAACUUAGCCAGGAUGUGGUCUUUUUCCCCACAAAUGCAAGUCUAGUCAACCACAACUAAUGGAACUCAAUUACUAAGAACAUAGAAAAUAUAUGAAACAAAACCCUCGUGGAAUGACCUACAAUAUCAAAUCAUCUCUUCUCUUACUUAAACGUAACAUUCUACCGUCCAAUUUCCUCUUCAAUCGUCUACCCACCACACUCAAAUCUCUAAAAGAACCGGACGCUUGAACAAUCGCAAAACAAUCUAAGAAAACCAUGGUCAGCCAGUGCACAAUUGCCCAAGCGCACGAUUGGCCCUGAGAUCCACCCCUCAGUCUUCCAUAUCCCUGCCAUGAUCCUAAACCGCUGCAAGCUGCCUUCGUUGUUGUCGUGCAAAAUCCUCCCACCGCGUGCGACAUUCACUUAACCACCGACGUGUCAGAUCCUCCCAUCGUGCUCCACCUUCACCGCCUCACCUCGGCGCCACCAUGUGCAAUCGUCCCACUCCGUCCACUUGGGGCAGGGCCAGCCCAUCACGUGAUCACGCUCGUUGGCGUCAACUCAAGGGGGCAAAACGUUGUGCCGCCUCCCAACACCAAUGGUUAGGAGAGCAGCGACUCUGCAACAUGCCACCAUGCAGGGAUCAGGAGUAUUAUGCAUUUCCUCGACGCCGUGCUGUUGCAGCCAGUUCUCGCUAGCACAAUGUUGUCAAUAUUAGUUUUGUACCGUUCAGUCCCGCAAAUGUGUCAUUUCUGUCAUAUAGCAUGCAUGGUUUAGUACAGUACUUUCAAAUAAUUACCCUGUUUUCUAUGAAUCAGAUUCAUGAAGCUCUAAUGGAGAAAGAAGUUUCAGUCCAACCUCACUAGCCGCCUACCCUUGUCGUCGAUAACUCUUGUGCUCACUUUGUCCUGAAGAUAGCAGGUGCUAAAUUUCUGUCAGGACACAAAUAUCAUGUCAUGACAUAGCUAAAAUCCAUUUCUCAUGUGUGAAGCAUACACACAAAAGUAUGAUACGUCUUUUAUUUUAUAACCCGAUCUAUGGUGGAAGGGCCAAGAUAAGCAUGUAACUGAAGUAAGCUCGAGACCGUUAUACACGCGCAAGUGAUCAAAAGCCCAUUCACGAGUUUCGGAGGGCGUCACUUGCUUCUAGUAAUAUUUUGCUUUAUAAGUUCAACAGAGGAAGCUACUGAAUAAAGCGGGUAUUUAAUCUAAAGUCGUAUCGUUUGAUGUAAACUUGUAAUAUUGUUUCUUUCCACCGUCACAAAAAUAAAUGUUUGUUAUGUCAGCCUGGCAGGAUUCAUGUCAGGUCAAAACGAACGUUUCUGUUGCUCUUACCUUAUUGAUGAAUAUUGGGGUUAACAUAUGUUUGUUUCAAACCACAUCUGUUUUACGAUCUUAGUGAUUUUGGGACAAGCACAAACAAAGCUCGGCUCAUUGAGCAUGUAUGUUACUCGAUCAUUGUUUUCGUCGACCGUUGUUUCGAUCACUUUGUUUUCUCCAUCCGUCUAGGCAUAACUUUGAUCUUAUAUGACUUUGCUAUUGCCGGCGUGAACCUUUGUAUGCGUCAAUAUUGGAUGUGCAUGUUAGUCAUGCAGAGGUCGACUAUGUACUUGUGUUUGUAUUUCCAUGAUACUUCAUUGCAGUGGCAGAUCCAAAAAUUGAACUUAGUCAGGUUAAACAUUUGAGGUCUUUUUUUUUGCAAAUGCCAGUCUAGUCAACGAAAAGUAAUGGAACUCAACUGUUAAAGAACAUGGAAAAUAUAUGAAACAAAACCCUCGUGAAAUGACGUAUAAUAUCAAAUCAUCUCCUCCCUUACUUAAAAAGAAUGUAACAUUCUUUCGACCAACUUCGCCUUCGAUAGUCUACCCACCACACCCAAAUCUCUAAAAUAACCAGACGCUUGAACAACCGGUUUUGCGCUGCAAUUGCCCCUGAGAUCCACCCCCCAGUCUUCCAUAUCCCCGCCCACGAUCCUAAAUUGCUGCAAACUACCUUCAUCGCUGCCGUGCAAAUUCCCAGAAAAAAAACACACACAGAGAGGAAAGACCC